rnacentral:rRNA from 1 species
UUAAUUGAAGAGUUUGAUCAUGGCUCAGAUUGAACGCUGGCGGCAGGCCUAACACAUGCAAGUCGAGCGGCAGCACAGAGGAACUUGUUCCUUGGGUGGCGAGCGGCGGACGGGUGAGUAAUGCCUGGGAAAUUGCCCGGUAGAGGGGGGAUAACCAUUGGAAACGAUGGCUAAUACCGCAUAACCUCGCAAGAGCAAAGCAGGGGACCUUCGGGCCUUGCGCUACCGGAUAUGCCCAGGUGG